rnacentral:rRNA from 1 species
UACGUAGGUGGCAAGCGUUAUCCGGAUUUAUUGGGCGUAAAGGGAACGCAGGCGGUCUUUUAAGUCUGAUGUGAAAGCCUUCGGCUUAACCGGAGUAGUGCAUUGGAAACUGGGAGACUUGAGUGCAGAAGAGGAGAGUGGAACUCCAUGUGUAGCGGUGAAAUGCGUAGAUAUAUGGAAGAACACCAGUGGCGAAGGCGGCCUGCUGGACCGCGACUGACGUUGAGGCUCGAAAGCGUGGGGAGCGAACAGU